AGAGGAUUCAGUCUCUGUUCCGGCAGCCGUUCCGGCCCGGCAGCUCUCCUGCUCUCGGGCUGCGAGGGGGGAGCGGUGGCGUGGACUCAGAGCGCUCGGGGCCCUCCACCUGGUUCUGGCACAGGAGAGGCACCGGGUUCUGGAGAAAAGAACACGUGGUUGAGUUAGACCUGGUUGUUAUUCAGGUCUCUGUAUGGGGAACAGACACAGAUCACAAGGGUGGAAUGAAGAUGGCUAACUGGGAGUGUCGACUGAAAAAACGCACCACCUAAAAGUUGGGAAUUAUGUUUUAUUCAGCGGACAUACUGAGGACUUAAGCCCGGAGACAGCCUCUCACGUAGCUCUGAGGGAUUUCUCCAAAGAGAGGGCCCACCACGCUCCCCUCCUUCCAAAGGCUUGAAGGAGGAAAACAAGGAAUAUAGGAGACGUUCUGUGAAGAAAAGCAGAUGAACAAAGCACUUACAGUUCAGAUGAGAAGCCUCCAACGUGAGUGAGCACAUCUGCAGCCUGAAAUCCCACAGCUGGACGGUGAGGUGCCGGAGCUGCCACCGAGACCUCACAUCCUGCCUGCACCUCACCCAGAGCGAGUGCUGGACCUUCGCAGAAAGGCCGCGGAGGGGGGAAUUUACUGCGUGGAGGCAGAGAAGAAGCUCCCCGACGUGCGUGGAAACAUCAGCCUCACAGUCACUGGAGUGACCUCCUGCAGGAGGAGACGGGAGAGGGGACAGGAGAGAACAACCUCCUUCCCUGCAACAGAAACGUCUUAUCUCUUCUGAGAAGGAAGCUAGAGAAAAGUGGGCGCCAGCUCUUCCCACUGAGGGGAAGCCCAGCUAGUGAGAAGCGGGGGGGACGCGGACACCAGUCGUGGAGCAGAGGCCUGGGGCCGUGGGUCAGCAGGUCCCCGGGGCAGGAGGCCGCUGAGCCUCCAGGACUGAGGGACCCGGCUCGCUUGCGGGGGUGAUGCCACAUUCGCAGCAGCAGCCCCGCGGGCCCAGAGACCUUUACCCGUUUUCUCUCCUAAAAGCAAUUUUGAUCAAUAGUUUUUAGUUUAAUUGAUACCGCACCUGCUCUUA